rnacentral:pre_miRNA from 1 species
UUGAUACUCCCUUCGUUUCAAAUUAUUUAUCACAGAUAUGAAUGUAUCUAGAUGUAUUUUAGUUUUAGAUAUAUCAAUUUCUGUGAGGAAUAAUUUGAAACGGAGGAAGUAGAUU